UCGACAUUGGCCAGCAGCGUGCGCGGUGCUGGCACCACCGCGUGGAAGUUGAGGUAGUGGUUCAGUGCCACGGGGUCGAGC
rnacentral:tRNA from 1 species